GGGGCUGUGGCUUAGUGGAAGAGCUUCUGCUUUUCAUGCAGAAGAUCCCAGGUUCAAUCCCUGGCAUCUCG